UCGGGGUCUGAGGAAGGAAAUGAGAGAAACACUGAAAACUGAGCGGCUCCGGUUAUAUGAAUCAAACAAGACUAAACAAGAUAAGUGGUCAGGAACGGGCCCUCGAGGGACUGACUGAAAAGUAGCAGCUCUACAGGAAGACCUUGAAGGAGAUAUCGGCCAAAUUGUAUUCAGCUGGAAGCAUAGAGCGGUAGAGAUAAUAUCAUCUGGCUUACUGCUGUCAUCGUGAUGUUCUGGAGCAGAGUUUCCUCAACCAGCACCAGGAGUCUGUAUUGGAUUAUGGGACCGUUGGGCUGGGCAGGGCUUUUCCAACUUACACGAAUUGAAACUGAAUCCUCAGCAAUUGCCAUCAGGUGUAACGAUGUCUCCCUUCGCUGCAGGACCCACCUCACCAGCUGCUUUUGCUCGGACGGCUACUAUGUACCUCGUGUAGGGUUUCAAACCGGUAAAAGCAAAACGGGUAUCUC